CGAUGCUCCAACGAGUGCUCUGCUGUCGCAAGAUAUUUCUGAUGGCAACUAUAUCAUGACAUCGUGUGAUCGUGUCAUUUCGUGAGCGGAAACAUCUCGUGAAACCUAUUCAUCUCAGAGUGUAUACUGAUCAUGGAGUGAGUUGUGAUUGACAUCGUCGUGUUAUUCCGUGAGCGCGAACCAUAUGGUCUAGUAACUAUUGUAUCAUUUUCAUAGAGUGAUCGUAGAUCAUGGAGUGUGGUGUAGUCAGUGAUUGACUUCGUGUGUGUUCAUUUCGUGAGCGAACCAUCUAGUCUAGUGUGGUGAUCAUCUCAUAGUGUGGUGUCAUGGUAUCAUGUAACGUGGUGUAACGUGGUGAUGUUUCUGUGGAGGUACUUUAGGGAUAGUGGUAUGGGGCUGCCGGAUUUGACGGUGAGUGUGAUUGGAUUGUCUUAUAAGAGCUAUUUUUUAUUCCAGUAUAAUUUAUUUAUUUAUUUAUGUUCAGGAGAACCAACAGCUUUAAACUUGCAAUAGGACAACAAGAUUAAUACAGAGAGCCAAUUACAGGAACUCACAAGUAAUUACAAAGUAUAUAAAAAAAAAAAAUGCUAACACUGAAGCACACACACAUGCGUACAAAGUGAGAAAAAAACAAAAACACAAUUGAAAAUGAAAAUACAUAGAAGCCAUUAAAAUAGACCCUAGGUUCGGAAACACUUAGUUCAUUAGCGCCCAGAAUAAUUGAGGUCUCAAAGUUCGAAGGAAAAAAGAACAUACAGUAAAAUAUAUCAGAUGUUAAUGCUGAUAAAGCAUAUUUUAAAGUUCAUAUCGAGGCGCUAAUGCACUAGGUUGAUGAAUAAAAUGCAUUUAAUCGCCUAAUGAAAACUUAAUAAAGUAACAAAAACAAAAAAAAAAAA